rnacentral:tRNA from 2 species
GGCCCGUUCGUCUAUCGGUUAGGACAUCUGGUUUUCAACCAGGAAAGAGGGGUUCAACUCCCCUACGGGCUGCCA